UAAGUGUGUUUGGAAAAAAAAUAUUUUUCACCGCACUGUAUUUAAAGUAAAAGGUAACACCAGGGAGCCAGUAAUGUCCUUCAGGCGUCUCAACACUGAUCUCUUAAAAGACUUCAUGAUUCCAGAAGCUGAGCGGAUUUGAUCCACACUGAUGACCAGUAAACCGGGCUGUGGGGAAUUUAAUGUGGGUAAUACCAGAUGUGGCCAGAAGGGGGCAUGAAAUGUGUGGUGUGGAGUCUUUUACUUUCACUUUCUCCAGCAGAGUCACGAAAAGGCGUCGGAAGGAUUUGUGUAUCUGAUAAAAUCUAUCUGAUGAGGGUUCCCUCAAUCACUGGAUAGUGGCAACAUCAGACCAAAACGCAGGCAGACACUGAUAUCACAAUGAAUUGCUGUUGGAGCUGCACAUGGAGACCAUGUUCUUGCCUAUGGUUCCAUGUAAUAUGCAGAUAUCAGACUGGAUCGGCAGAAAUUGAGUAAGAGAAUGAGAACAUUGAGGAGAUCAGACUGUGGCAUGGAGGAGAUCAGACUGUGGCAUAGAGGAGAUCAGAUUGCGGCAUGGAAGAGAUCAGUCUGUGGCAUGGAGGAGAUCAGACUGUGGCAUGGAGGAGAUCAGACUGUGGCAUGGAGGAGAUCAGAUUGCGGCAUGGAAGAGAUCAGUCUGUGGCAUGGAGAAGAUCAGAC